rnacentral:rRNA from 1 species
AGCGAACGCUAGCGGCGGGCCUAACACAUGCAAGUCGAGCGCAUACCUUCGGGUAUGAGCGGCGGACGGGUGAGUAACACGUAGGUAAUCUACCCUUUGGUGGGGAAUAACCCGGGGAAACUCGGGCUAAUGCCGCACGAGGUCUACGGAUCAAAGCCUUCGGGCGCCAGAGGAUGAGCCUGCGUUGCAUUACCUAGUUGGCGGGGUAACGGCCCACCAAGGGGACGAUGCAUAGCUGGUCUGAGAGGAUGAUCAGCCACACUGGGACUGAGACACGGCCCAGACUCCUACGGGAGGCAGCAGUGGGGAAUAUUGCGCAAUGGGGGGAAACCCUGACGCAGCUACGCCGCGUGGGUGAUGAAGGCCUUCGGGUUGUAAAGCCCUGUCGGGAGGGACGAAGUACUGACGGUACCUCCCAAGAAAGCACCGGCUAACUCCGUGCCAGCAGCCGCGGUAAU